AAACCACAUCCCAACCUCUGCUUGAACUAGAAGCCGCCUAGAAGUUCCUUGAGUGUGCGAUGGUUGAACUUACCAAGAGUCCUUCUGGAACUCUCCAGAGUGCCAGAAAAUUCAGAAAACAGCCAGACUUGCAGGGUUGUAGCUGGUCUACAAAUCAAGAAUUCUUUGACAUCUAAGAAUCUUAACUUCAAGGCACAACAUCAGUAGAAAGGGUUGCCGUUAAUGCUACUGUUUGACAAACAAGCUGAGAACUGUUUUGAGGACUUUGGGCUUAGUUCUUCCUCACUAUGAUGGCUGAUACUGUUUGUGCAGAGAUCCCAGUAAACUAGUCGUCAGAACUCAUUCUUUAGCUGGUAGCCAAUGUCACAAACCCCAGCAGCCUAGAGUACAUGGAAAAGUCAACAUUGGAUGCAAUUUAUUACAUCUGCCAAGAAAUUUACAGGGAGCAGCUAAGGGAUAAAUCUAAAGAGAUUGGAGGUCCUAAUAGUAAUGUGAAGUUAGUGGCUACUAAGGCACUCCUGAACUACUGGAGUUCACCAGAGCAAACUUUGACGAAGAGUCUGAAAGGCAAUUUAUUUUGCAGGUUGUCUACGGAGCAACCUAUUAUCAAGAUAAUUAGGUAUAAGUGGGUACAUUACAGAAUCUGGUCAAGAAAAUGUCCCUAUAUUAUCAGUACAUGGACACAUACAUGAGUCCUGCUCUUUUUGUGGUCACAAAUGAAGUAAUGAAUAGUGACUUUGAUGAAGUGGUUCUAUAAGGAAUAAAAUUCUGGUCCAGUGUCUGUGAUGAAAAAAUAGAUUUCGUCAUUAAAGCUUAAGAGGCAGCAGAACAAAGAAGGCCCCCACAGCACACAGCGAGUUCUGUGCCAAGGGAGCUCUACAAUUGUGGUUCCAAUUCUUAUACAGACACUAGCAAAAAGUGAUGAAAAUGAUGAUGUUCCUGACCACGUGAUGUGAAGAUGACAUUCUCCCACAUGUACUUCUCUCUGUUAAAGAACAUUCAAGCAUCCCGAUUAGUCAUACCAGGAUACUACUGUGACGGCUUUUGCCUGUAUCUUGGAAGAACAGAAACCCAAAAAGCUACAACUCCUAGUCAUACAUGCAAUGUUUAUCUUAAUGGAAUUAAUCAAAGACCCUUGUGUAAGUUUUUUUAUAUACAAGUAUACACACUGAGGGCGGAUUUUGAAAGCUGCUUCAUGAAGCUGCCAUCAAGGGUGUCUACUUGGCUCCCCUGCCACAAAGUCUGAUGGAAGGCCUGAAUGAUGAACCCAGAAUGUCUUCAAAUGCAUGCUGGGCUUUUCCCAGUCUCGCUGAAGCUGCUUAUGAAACUUUGUAAGUAAUGGCCAGGAAGACACUGCUACUUCCUGGUUAUCCUCAUAUUUCAGAAGCUCAUGGAGACCCCAGACAGCUUCUGCUGACCAGCAGAACAACCUGAGAAGUGCUGCAUAUGAUGCUUUGAUGGAAAUUGUGAAAAAUAUUACUAAGUACUAUUACCCUUCAGUUCAAAAAUUGACUCUGACAGCUCUGGUCUGACUGCAGAAGGUGUAUCAGAUGAAAUCCCAUAUAAGAGCACUUUUGAUAAGAUCUAUUUCAAUGACCUUUGGUCUUUACUCUGCCUAACUCUUUGAAGUGUUCCCUGAAAAGUGCAGCAUCAAGAUGAGACCAUAGUCUCCCUGUCAAGGAUUUUCCAAAUCACAAGUAGGUCUGGAGGAAUGCAAGAGGAUGACCUAAUGGCAGUUAACACACUGGGGGAAAUGUUGAUUGAUGAAUUUCUAAAGUACAUAGAAGCCUCUAAACUCUUUCUGAGCAAGGAUAUUGUAUUGAAAAAUUAUACUGAGUGUCAGGUUUUAUUGGAGACCAUAGGUUUAGUGGAAGACUUAUGUCACAUUUUGAAAUUCAGUAUCUUACCUUUUGUUGAUGGAGAACAUAGGGAAUGAGAAUAUCCACAGGUUUGUGAAGACACAGAUUCUGUGUUUGGUGAUAUUGCCCUUAUUAUUGGUGGAGAGUUUACCAAAUACCUAAAUGGUAUUCAUACAAAUGGCAUUCAGCAAACCUCCAAAUCCCAGAUGAACAAGUCAGACUAUGAAUGACAUGGUGGAUUAUCUGAAUGAACAAAGAGAAGAUUGCUGGGAAGCGUAGACUAUAAUUGUCCAAGGACCAAAGGGAGGCUAGAAGAAUGCAUACCCAGAUAUACUCCUGAUGCAACCAAUAGUAGAAUACAGUAUGUCUUUCUUCUACCACACUGCUAGAUUGAGAAUCGUACAGAAAGCAUAGGUAGUCGUGUGCUGAACUGAUAGGGAGCUUAUGUACAGCAUUUAAGAAAGAUGCGGCUGGGUACAGUGGCUCACGCCUGAAAUCCCAGCGCUUUGGGAGGCCAAGGAGGGUGGAUCACCUGAGGUCAGGAGUUCUAGACCAGCCUGGCCCACAUGGUGAAACCCUGUCUCUACCAAAAAUAGAAAAAUUAGCCAGGCGUAGUGGCAGGCACCAGUAAUCCCAGCUACUCAGGAGGCUGAGGCAGGAGAAUCACUUGAACACGGGAGGCAGAGGUUGCAGUGAGCUGAGAUCGCACCACUGCACUCCAGCCUUCAGGAUAGAGCAAGACUCUGUCUCCAAAAAAAAAAAAAAAAAGAAAGAUGUACUGAAAUUAGUAACAACUAGGCUGAUGAUUACUGAAGUAUUGACUAAGGGACAGAAAUUUAAAACAAAACAAAACCCUUGCUUCAUGGGCAGCAGUAUAACUGAAGAAGCUGAAGAACCAAGGCUGA
rnacentral:lncRNA from 1 species